rnacentral:piRNA from 1 species
UCAAAUGUGUGUGUUGAAUGAAUGAA